UACAGAGGUCUCGAGCGUUAGGCGGAAUCACUGGGCUUAAAGCGUGUGUAGGCGGAUUGCUAAGUACCUUGUGAAAUCCCACGGCUUAACCGUGGAACUGCUUGGUAUACUGGCUGUCUUGAGCCACUUAGGGGCGACCGGAACAAACGGUGGAGCGGUGAAAUGCGUAGAUAUCUGGAGGAAUACCGGUGGCGAAGGCGGCAUCCUGGACCGACAUUGACGCUGAGGAGCGAAAGCUAGGGGAGCAAACGGG
rnacentral:rRNA from 1 species